GAAAACCCUUCCCUCGCCUCCGCGGUCGCGGGACUUCCGCUCGGCGGCCAGCAGGGGGCGGCACCGCGCCGUCGUCGUCCCGGCAGCGGCGCGGGCUGCGGGCCUGGGACUGCGUUUUUGCGGGUGUGACCCAUGCUCAGAACAGAGCAGAAAACACCGCUAAGAGUCUCUCUACUGCAGCAGUUCGUUCAUUUAGCUUCAUUCAAGGUCACCACGGGUCCCUGCUUAAUUCCAAGGGAGCAGACGGACCAUGUGCUUGCGUCCAGCUCCCACCGGGGUGUAUGGACUUCCUUUUCCAUAACGGAAGGGGUAACAGUCAACUCGUGAACUAAAUGGAAAGACAUGGGUAUGCCCCCGCUGGCCAAUCAGAGCAAAGCUGACAGUAGUCAUCGUCUGACCACAC
rnacentral:lncRNA from 1 species